UACGUAGGGUGCGAGCGUUAAUCGGAAUUACUGGGCGUAAAGCGUGCGCAGGCGGCUUUGUAAGCCAGAUGUGAAAGCCCCGGGCUCAACCUGGGAAUGGCAUUUGGGACUGCAAGGCUGGAGUUUGGCAGAGGAGACUGGAAUUCCUGGUGUAGCAGUGAAAUGCGUAGAUAUCGUAAGGAAGACCAGUGGCGAAGGCGGGUCUCUGGACAGUUCCUGACGCUGAGGCACGAAGGUCAGGGGAGCAAACGGG
rnacentral:rRNA from 1 species